rnacentral:lncRNA from 1 species
CCCAUCCAUUAGUCCAUCAGCAGGUCCUUGGGCCCUUUUCUUCCUGUGCCAGCUUUUGACAGAAGCCAGAGGAGCCACAAGAAAGCAGUGAGAGCACCGCACUCCUGUGGAAAAGAAACCUGCACUUGGCUGGUGGUGCCUUUGAACUGAAGUGUUGGAGCUUGCCCCAACAUGUGGGGGAAGAGGUUUCCAUCCAGGUUGUUGGCUGUGGACACACAAAUGGUGGAAUUGCCUCUUGGCACAGAAGGAGGAAGGAGGUGCGGGGUGGAGGAGAGCCAUGCCUGGCAGGGCAGAGAGGAAUACCUGUUGAAGAUUCAGAAGAUAUUUUCCAGAGUCCCAGCCCUGAGGCUGAAUGGGAACAGAGCUGGACUCACCCGAGGAAAAACAGAAGAUUAAUGAGGAAACCUACAAAAGAGAAAAGAGAGGCAAAGGCAUCUAGUCACCAUCUGAAGACUUCAGGAGACAGACGGUUAAACAGCACUCCUCCAUCCCUUUGCUGUAAUUUUCUUCUUAGCUCUCAUGCUGUUAUGUCCUCUUUCCAACAUCAGUGA